rnacentral:rRNA from 1 species
GGUGUAUUUAUUAGAUAAAAAACCAAUGCCCUUCGGGGCUCCUUGGUGAUUCAUAAUAACUUAACGAAUCGCAUGGCCUUGCGCCGGCGAUGGUUCAUUCAAAUUUCUGCCCUAUCAACUUUCGAUGGUAGGAUAGUGGCCUACCAUGGUGGCAACGGGUAACGGGAAUUAGGGUUCGAUUCCGGAGAGGGAGCCUGAGAAACGGCUACCACAUCCAAGGAAGGCAGCAGGCGCGCAAAUUACCCAAUCCCGAUCCGGGGAGGUAGUGACAAUAAAUACUGAUAUAGGGCUCUUUUGGGUCUUAUAAUUGGAAUGAGUACAAUCUAAAUCCCUUAACGAGGAACAAUUGGAGGGCAAGUCUGGUGCCAGCAGCCGCGGUAAUUCCAGCUCCAAUAGCGUAUAUUAAAGUUGUUGCAGUUAAAAAGCUCGUAGUUGAACCUUGGGCCCGUCCUGCCGGUCCGCCUCACCGCGAGUACUGGUCCGGAUGGGCCUUUCUUUCUGGGGAAUCCCAUGGCCUUCACUGGCUGUGGCGGGGAACCAGGACUUUUAC